GCCCUACGCUAGUACAGUGGUUAGUAUCUCUCCUUCCCAAGGUGAGGACACGAGUUCGAAUCUCGUGCGUGGCA
rnacentral:tRNA from 1 species